UCUCCUGGAAACGGGUGGUAAUGCCGGAUGCUCCAGUUGAUCGCAUGGUCUUCUGGGAAAGCUUUCGCGGUAUGGGAUGGGGUCGCGUCCUAUCAGCUUGACGGCGGGGUAACGGCCCACCGUGGCUUCGACGGGUAGCCGGCCUGAGAGGGCGACCGGCCACAUUGGGACUGAGAUACGGCCCAGACUCCUACGGGAGGCAGCAGUGGGGAAUAUUGCACAAUGGGCGCAAGCCUGAUGCAGCGACGCCGCGUGAGGGAUGGAGGCCUUCGGGUUGUAAACCUCUUUUAUCGGGGAGCAAGCGAGAGUGAGUUUACCCGUUGAAUAAGCACCGGCUAACUACGUGCCAGCAGCCGCGGUAAUACGUAGGGUGCAAGCGUUAUCCGGAAUUAUUGGGCGUAAAGGGCUCGUAGGCGGUUCGUCGCGUCCGGUGUGAAAGUCCAUCGCUUAACGGUGGAUCCGCGCCGGGUACGGGCGGGCUUGAGUGCGGUAGGGGAGACUGGAAUUCCCGGUGUAACGGUGGAAUGUGUAGAUAUCG
rnacentral:rRNA from 2 species